rnacentral:rRNA from 1 species
UGAGGAAUAUUGGUCAAUGGGCGAGAGCCUGAACCAGCCAUCCCGCGUGCAGGAUGACGGCCCUAUGGGUUGUAAACUGCUUUUGUACGGGAAUAAUAUGGCCUACGAGUAGGUUAUCGAAUGUACCGUACGAAUAAGCAUCGGCUAACUCCGUGCCAGCAGCCGCGGUAAUACGGAGGAUGCAAGCGUUAUCCGGAUUUAUUGGGUUUAAAGGGUGCGCAGGCGGGCUUGUAAGUCAGUGGUGAAAUACUGCCGCUCAACGGUAGGGUUGCCAUUGAUACUGCAAGUCUUGAGUAUGGUUGAGGCAGGCGGAAUGUGCAGUGUAGCGGUGAAAUGCUUAGAUAUUGUACAGAACGCCGAUUGCGAAGGCAGCUUGCCAAGCCAUUACUGACGCUGAGGCACGAAAGCGUGGGGAUCGAACA